rnacentral:rRNA from 1 species
GAUGAACGCUGGCGGCGUGCUUAACACAUGCAAGUCGAACGGAAAGGCCCAAGCUUGCUUGGGUACUCGAGUGGCGAACGGGUGAGUAACACGUGGGUGAUCUGCCCUGCACUUCGGGAUAAGCCUGGGAAACUGGGUCUAAUACCGGAUAGGACGAUGGUUUGGAUGCCAUUGUGGAAAGUUUUUUCGGUGUGGGAUGAGCUCGCGGCCUAUCAGCUUGUUGGUGGGGUAAUGGCCUACCAAGGCGUCGACGGGUAGCCGGCCUGAGAGGGUGUACGGCCACAUUGGGACUUAGAUACGGCCCAGACGCCUACGGGAGGCAGCAGUGGGGAAUAUUGCACAACGGGCGCAAGCCUGAUGCAGCGACGCGGCGUGGGGGAUGACGGCCUUCGGGUUGUAAACUCCUUUCGCUAGGGACGAAGCGUUUUGUGACGGUACCUGGAGAAGAAGCAACGGCUAACUACGUG